rnacentral:lncRNA from 1 species
AAGGGUCGGAGAGUGGAGUUUCGGAACAGACUCUGUUCUGGAAGAGGGACCGGGUUGCUACUGGAGUUGGUGGGAAAACUGGGAACCAGAGGGAGUAGGGACGCAAUAAGUUGCCGGUGGUGCUUCACACUGUUGUUUUCACUCAAGAAAUUAAAGGAUCAGAGACAAUUUCAUCACUCAAGUACUUCAGCCUCGGGGAUGUCCCAGCUGGGUGUGGAUUCCUGGAGGUGGAUGCGCCAGCUCCUGGCUUCGGAACGCAGGCGAGAAGCUAAGCCUCGGCUCCCAUAACCUGCGGAGAUGCACGCUUUGGAGCCCGCUGCUGCCACCUGCGGGUGGAAAGCUGAAGGGCGAAGCAGGCUGGUCCAUGUGGUCCCGGGGCUAGGGUAUUGGAAUCCAGGGGUCGAUGUCUUUUAUUGUCCUGAGCAUUUCUAACUAACUUUCCCAGAAAGUGAAGGUGUGGUGUAAAGAUCCUCUGAGAUACUAGGUCGUAAGGUAUGACGUGGCAAGGUUGAUAAGAGAGGUUUAGGAAACUAAAUAGCAAGUAUCUUUCCGCAUCCCCAUAAGCAAUUAAGACUGAUGAAACCACAUCAAGCAAAGAGCUUUCCCUAGCAAAUGGGAUUUGGCCCUACUGAGAGAAUGGUAUUUGUGUAGGAUACUGUUAUGCUGGGAACAACAAAUAAGGAUCUUGAAUGACUGCUUCCUUUGAAUAAGUACUAUGACUAUAGGGAUGACUAAAUACAAAAGAAAUUGCAUAGGGCAUAGAGACCCUAGUCUCCAGAAGCCUGGGGCUUUAUUUUCAGAAGUGAUUUGUGGAGUUCCCGUCUUGGCUCAGUGGUUAAUGAAUCCGACUAGGAACCAUGCGGUUGUGGGUUCGAUCUCUGGCCUCGCUCAGUGGGUUAAGGAUCUGGCGUUGCCGUGAGCUGUGGUGUAGGUCGCAGACACGGCUUGGAUCCGCUGUGGCUGUGGCGUAGGCCGGCGGCUGCAGCUCCCAUUGGACCCCUAGCCUGGGAACCUCCAUAUGCUGCGGGGGGGGCCCUAGAAAAGACCAAAAAAAAAAAGUGAUUUGUCAUUUGUAGACAACUACAGGGGAUUUGAUUUGUUUGAUUUAAAGAAUGUGGACAUUUUAUCACUAUAAUGAGAAUAUCUGCUUUUAAUUGUCCCAUUUGUAAAUGGACUUUUCUCUCAAAAGUGUCUUUCAAAAUUUAAAGUAUAUGUGCUCUUACUUGUUUCCAGGCCCUAGUAAGUAAUAGCUACUCCACAACCUUUGGAAAAACUGAAGCCAGAGGUAUCUGGUGGCAAAUGUUUCUUUUAUUUGUAAUUUUUCUGUUUUGACACACAGGUUUGCAGUCCACUGGCUGCUAGGGAUGCAGAUACUUUGUAUUGCCAAGCAAAAAGAAAGCUUUAGGUUAAUGCUUUCUAAUGCUUAAAGAAGCUGCUGCCAUAUUAUGAAAAGCAUUUUCUUACCUUUUAAGAUUCUUAAUUGCAAUACUGCAUUUCUGUGGAUUUGUCCAUAAUCCUAUGAUAGGAUUCCUAUGAAUGGCUUUUAGGCUGCACAAGUAAAAGGAAAGCAUAACAUUGUCUGUAGCUGACUCUCAGCACCCCACCCAUAGUCCCUGGACUCUUGCCUUUUAGAGCAUGCCCACCUUAUUUCUGCAAGCACCUAGGAUUGCCUACAGCCUUUUUAUACCCAUAGGAGGUGGAGUGAAGGUACAGCCUCAAGAGCAAUGGUUGCGAGGUGGUAGAUAUAUUCCCCAGUUUUUUCAGCCCAAAGGUGUGCAUACCCCUGCAACAUGCUCUUGUCCCACACCAUUAACCUUCCUACCAGGAUGGAGCCCGUAGAGACUACAGUUGCCCAUCUUGGUAAUCUGCUCGUUCAUACACUGUGAAUUAGCUUCCUUCCCUUCCCUGCCUCAUUUCCCUACUCCUCUACCAGCGUUUCCUGGGAUCACCUCAGAAAUAAACCUCUCCACUCAAAUUCUGUGUCAGGGCUGCCUCUGGAGUAACCCAGCAGAAGGCAGUCUUCAAGGGCUUUUAUUCCUUAUCUGACAUCAUUGGCACAGUGUUCUCAGAAGAGGGAACCAGAAGCAUGUUAGGUGUUGCACCCACCAUUGCAUUUACAGUGUGCAGCCACUACUUUACGUGCUACACCUGCAUCAUCUCGUUCAUUACUCUCAGGAAAUUGGAGAGUUGGUGCAAUGCUCAUUUUAAAGAUAAUAGGAACUAAGGUUUAGAGAAAGAAAGAACAGUAACCAUCUCUUUAAGUUUUCACUUUCUGCUGUUUCAGUGACCUGCAGUCCACUUCUGCCCCAAAGUAUUAAACAGAAAAUUCCAGAAAUAGACAAUUCGUAAGUUUUAAAUUGUGGGCCUUUCUGAAGUGCGGUGAAAUCUCUCACCGACCCGCUGUCCAUCCAGAAGAUGAAUCACCCCUUUGUCCAGGUGGCCUGCUAUAGUUUCUACCCACUGUGAGUUAUUUAGUAGCCCUAUCAGUUAUGAGGUUGACAGACACAGUAUCACAGCACUUGUGUUCAGAGUUCAAACCCUCCUGUGUGGGGUUUUGUACUAUCAGUGGUUUACAGGCAUCUGCUGGGGUCUUGGAACACAUCCCCCAUGGUUGGGAUGGGGGCGGGGGGGACUAUUCUAUCUUCAUCACAGGAGCACAGUUCUCUGUGGCAGAAUUAGAGUGUGGUGAGGGCGUUCCUGUGAGACAUCAAAAUCACUUUUCUUUGCUGUACUCCUGUAUUUGUAUUUUACUGUACUUGUCAUUCUUUUAGAAUUCCCUACAGAAUGAUAAAAAUAUUUAGAAGGAUGAUAACACAUAUUUUGUUUUCUCUUUUUUGUCCAGCCUUAUUGAGAUCACAUUUUAUGAUCUUUAAACUUCAUUCACAUCACAUCCUUUAGAUAGCGUAUGGGUUCUGCCUGCCUUAGGAAAAGGUGCUCUAGUGAGGGAUGCAGUUCCAUUCCUUAAGGUGGCUGUGCCCUUCCUAUUCCAUUUCCUGUUAUCUCUAGAGCCUUAGUGGAGAAGACUAGAGAGAGGAUCCCAACUGCUCCGUAGAUGGCCAUCAAGGAGAGAGAGGCCUCAAAUGUGAAUGCCAAUGGCACUUUCAUUUAGAAAUAGAGUCAUACACUAUUCAGCUCUAUAAGGUGCUGAGGGCUUUUGUUGACUAGUCUGGUGACACAACUAUUGUUAAUUAUCUUGUUUUUGUGGAGAGAAUGUGUUACAUAUUCCACAUCUUGAAAGCUGACCUUGACAUCUUGCUGCAAAGCACUAUUCAAGGUUAUUUCACACCUAUUAUCUCCUUUAUAUCUCAUAACAAUUCAUGGAAUGGAAGAGGUACACAACCACAAAGUGAGUUGCAGUCUGUUCAACAUUCAGUCACUUCAGCAGGAGCAAAGGCUCAAGCCUAGCUUUGUAACACCACUAAGCAAUUUCGCACUGGGUUUUACUCAGUCUCUAUUCAUUAGAGUUUGAAAACAUAAAGGCAGCAAUUAACUUUACAGUCACAAAACCAACAUUUAAUUCACCGGAUAUUUGUACAAACUUGGAUUUUUUUUUUCCCUGUGUGGAAAAUAAUAGCUCUUAGGAAAAUAAUGGUAUUUUCAAAAUAAAUUUAAAAAGAAAAUAAAUACUCAUAAUCCUUCCACCCAGAGGUAAUCUUUCUGUCAUUUUUGCAGAAACUAUUUUACAAAAAUGGAAUUAUAUCAUGCAUAUCUUAAUCUACUUUUUUUCACUUAACAAUAAUAGAUCAAGAACAUACAUCCAAAUCAUUAACUAAUAGACUCGUGGACUCUGCAGCCAGUUUGACUUCAUAAUCCUAGUCCUGCCACUUGUCAACUGUGUAACCUUUGGCAAAUCACUUAGCUCUCUGUGUCUAAGUUUCUUUAUAAAAGAAGGUAGGGGAGUUCCCGUCGUGGCGCAGUGGUUAACCAUGAGGUUGCGGGUUCAGUCCCUGCCCUUGCUCAGUGGGUUAAUGAUCUGGCGUUGCCGUGAGCUGUGGUGUAGGUUGCAGACGCAGCUCGGAUCCUGCGUUGCUGUGGAUCUGGCGUAGGCCGGAGGUACAGCUCCGAUUAGAUCCCUAGCCGGGGAACCUCCAUAUGCCGUGGGAGUGGCCCAAGAAAUAGCAAAAAAGACAAAAAAAAUAAAAAAUAAAUAAAAAAAAAUAAAAGAAGGUAGGGAGUUAAAUGCACAUGUCAUCAGGUUGUUGGGAGGAUUAAGUAUUAUUAAUAUAUGUAAAGCUUUUAGAACAGUGCCUGGCCAAUAGUUAACAUUUUAACUUUGUUAAUUAUCAUAAUUCUGCAUAUAACAUAACUUUAAUGACUAUAUAAUAUUCCAAUGUAAGCAAAUAUCCCAGUUACUUAAUUGAUAUCUUUUCUUAGAUAUACAGGUUUUAUAGUGGGCAGAAUAACUCCUCAAAUAUGUCCACACAAUAAUCCUCUGAACCUGUGAAUAUGUUACCUCAUACUGCUGACCUAUAAAUUGUAAGACAAUUGAUGCAUUCUUUUAAGCCACUAAAUUUGUGGUAAUUUGUCAUAGCAGCAAUAGAAAACCAAUAGAGUUUGCUUCCAAUGUUUUAAUAUUAUAUGUUUUAUAAUAUUUAAGUUUGUAGGCAUGUUAUCACCUAUGUUUUAUUUCCUUAUGGUACAUUUCUAGAAGUGAACUUAUGAGACAGUGAAAGGUAAAAAUUAUGAUGCUUUUGAUAAAUAAUUCUCCUUUGAGGAUUUCUAUAGAUUUAUACUUAUAGGGAAUGUGUUUGCCAUUUCCCUUAUGCCUUUUUCAGUAAUGGAUAUUAUCAUUUUUAAAAAAUGUUUUUCACCUUCCAUUUUAAUUUGCAUUUCUUUUAUACAGUGAUUAUUUGUUAAAUACCUAGUAAAUAUGCAAAGAUAGACUGUGGCCUAAAAAUAUACCACACUGACUCUCUCUUUUCUGCCAUGAUUCCUCUUGAAAGUUCAAGUCCAUUUCUAAUAAUAUUAUCCAUUGACAGAUUUUAUAGUGCAGACUAUAACAAUAAAAAUCCACUUAUGUUUGUGAUCAAAAUGCUGGUCUUCAAAGAUGUUGAUAAACCAAAAUAACAGAUUAUGUCAUGGUAGGGACUAGAACUGUGUUAUGAUUGAUGUCUAACCAGUCAUGUUUUUGU